rnacentral:rRNA from 1 species
CCCUAUUAUUAUAUAAUAAUAAAUUAGUAAGAAGAUGAAAUUUAAUAAUUUUGGCGGUUAGGGAUUUUUUAGAGGAGCUUGAGUUUUAUAGAAUUUACUCUUUUUAUCUUAAUAAUAAUAUGACUUAUUCAUCUCCGUUAUCAAAGUGAAAUUUUAAAUAAGUACUUUUUAAAAUAUCAGGUCAAGAUGUAGUGUUUAUUGAAAAUUUGUUAGCUACAUUUAUGAAAUGAUUGGACUAUUUUAAGAAAUUUAAAGUGAGAAAUUGAAUUUAGAUGUAAUAGUAACUAGAAAGUUAUUAUGAAUGUAUUACCCUAAUGUA